rnacentral:rRNA from 1 species
GACGAACGCUGGCGGCGUGCCUAAUACAUGCAAGUCGAGCGAGACUCUUCGGAGUCUAGCGGCGGACGGGUGAGUAACACGUGGGCAACCUGCCUGUAAGACUGGGAUAACACCGGGAAACCGGUGCUAAUACCGGAUAAUCCUUUUUCUCUCAUGAGGAAAAGCUGAAAGUCGGUUUCGGCUGACACUUACAGAUGGGCCCGCGGCGCAUUAGCUAGUUGGUGAGGUAACGGCUCACCAAGGCGACGAUGCGUAGCCGACCUGAGAGGGUGAUCGGCCACACGGGGACUGAGACACGGCCCAGACUCCUACGGGAGGCAGCAGUAGGGAAUCUUCCACAAUGGACGAAAGUCUGAUGGAGCAACGCCGCGUGAGCGAUGAAGGCCUUCGGGUCGUAAAGCUCUGUUGUUAGGGAAGAACAAGUACCGGAGUAACUGCCGGUACCUUGACGGUACCUAACCAGAAAGCCACGGCUAACUACGUGCCAGCAGCCGCGGUAAAAC